rnacentral:rRNA from 1 species
ACAUAUCAUAACGAAGAGGUAUCGUAAUUGAAGAGGUUUGGAAAGACCCACCACAGAAGGUAAUAGUCCUGUAUGUUAAACGAGAAGACUUUAGAUAUGAUCCAGAGUACCACGGGACACGUGAAACCCUGUGGGAAGCAGGAGGGACCACCCUCCAAGGCUAAAUACUACCUAGUGACCGAUAGCGUAUAGUACCGUGAGGGAAAGGUGAAAAGAACCCCGGGAGGGGAGGGAAAUAGAACCUGAAACCCUGCACUUACAAGCUGUGGAAGCACAUUUCUUGUGUGACCGCGUACUUUUUGUAGAACGGGCCAACGAGUUACG